UACGGAGGGUGCAAGCGUUAUCCGGAUUCACUGGGUUUAAAGGGUGCGUAGGUGGGCAGGUAAGUCAGUGGUGAAAUCUCCGGGCUUAACUCGGAAACUGCCAUUGAUACUAUCUUUCUUGAAUACCGUGGAGGUCAGCGGAAUAUGUCAUGUAGCGGUGAAAUGCUUAGAUAUGACAUAGAACACCAAUUGCGAAGGCAGCUGGCUACACGAAUAUUGACACUGAUGCACGAAA
rnacentral:rRNA from 1 species